rnacentral:rRNA from 1 species
GUGUCAGCAGCCGCGGUAAUACAGAGGGUGCGAGCGUUGUCCGGAAUCACUGGGCGUAAAGGGCGCGUAGGUGGCGCUGCAAGUCGGUGGUGAAAGCUCGUCGCUCAACGACGAGUCGGCCAUCGAAACUGCAGGGCUCGAGCACUGUAGGGGCAGAUGGAAUUCCGGGUGUAGCGGUGGAAUGCGUAGAGAUCCGGAAGAACACCAGUGGCGAAGGCGGUCUGCUGGGCAGUAGCUGACACUGAGGCGCGACAGCGUGGGGAGCAAACAGGAUUAGAAACCCCAGUAGUCC